rnacentral:rRNA from 1 species
GACGUAGGGCGCGAGCGUUGUCCGGAUUUAUUGGGCGUAAAGAGCUCGUAGGCGGCUCGUUGCGUCGGCUGUGGAAACCCGCAGCUCAACUGUGGGCUUGCAGCCGAUACGGGCGGGCUGGAGUUCGGUAGGGGAGACUGGAAUUCCUGGUGUAGCGGUGAAAUGCGCAGAUAUCAGGAGGAACACCGGUGGCGAAGGCGGGUCUCUGGGCCGAUACUGACGCUGAGGAGCGAAAGCGUGGGGAGCGAACAGG